CCUACGUGAGGCAGCAGUGGGGAAUAUUGCGCAAUGGGCGAAAGCCUGACGCAGCGACGCCGCGUGAGGGAUGAAGGUCUUCGGAUCGUAAACCUCUGUCAGCAGGGAAGAACGGUCACUGUGCUAAUCAGCAGUGAAUUGACGGUACCUGCAAAGGAAGCACCGGCUAACUCCGUGCCAGCAGCCGCGGUAAUACGGAGGGUGCGAGCGUUAAUCGGAAUUACUGGGCGUAAAGCGCUCGUAGGCGGUAUGUCAAGUCAAGGGUGAAAUCCCCGCGCUCAACGUGGGAACUGCCUUUGAAACUGGCAAACUGGAGUGUGUGAGAGGAUAGUGGAAGUCCAGGUGUAGGAGUGAAAUCCGUAGAUAUCUGGAGGAACAUCAGUGGCGAAGGCGACUAUCUGGCACAUAACUGACGCUGAGGGGCGAAAGCGUGGGUAGCAAACAGGAUUAGAUACCCUUGUAGUC
rnacentral:rRNA from 1 species